rnacentral:tRNA from 1 species
UGGGGUAUGACGCAAUUGGCUAGCGUGCUGGUCUCAUUAACCAGAGGUUUUAGGUUCGAGUCCUAAUGCCCCAA